rnacentral:tRNA from 1 species
GCGGAUGUGGCGAAAUUGGCAGACGCGCCAGACUUAGGAUCUGGUUUCGAAAGAAGUGGAGGUUCAAGUCCUCUCAUCCGCACCA